GACGAACGCUGGCGGCGUGCCUAAUACAUGCAAGUAGAACGCUGAAGGAGGAGCUUGCUUCUCCGGAUGAGUUGCGAACGGGUGAGUAACGCGUAGGUAACCUGCCUGGUAGCGGGGGAUAACUAUUGGAAACGAUAGCUAAUACCGCAUAACAGUAGAUAUCGCAUGAUAUCUGCUUGAAAGGUGCAAUUGCAUCACUACCAGAUGGACCUGCGUUGUAUUAGCUAGUUGGUGAGGUAACGGCUCACCAAGGCGACGAUACAUAGCCGACCUGAGAGGGUGAUCGGCCACACUGGGACUGAGACACGGCCCAGACUCCUACGGGAGGCAGCAGUAGGGAAUCUUCGGCAAUGGACGGAAGUCUGACCGAGCAACGCCGCGUGAGUGAAGAAGGUUUUCGGAUCGUAAAGCUCGGUUGUAAGAGAAGAACGAGUGUGAGAGUGGAAAGUUCACACUGUGACGGUAUCUUACCAGAAAGGGACGGCUAACUACGUG
rnacentral:rRNA from 1 species